AUUGAACGCUGGCGGCAGGCCUAACACAUGCAAGUCGAGCGGAUGAAGGGAGCUUGCUCCUGGAUUCAGCGGCGGACGGGUGAGUAAUGCCUAGGAAUCUGCCUGGUAGUGGGGGAUAACGUCCGGAAACGGGCGCUAAUACCGCAUACGUCCAGAGGGUGAAAGUGGGGGAUCUUCGGACCUCACGCUAUCAUAUGAAUUUAGGCCGGAUUGGCUAGUUGGUGGGGUAAAGGCCUACCAAGGCGACGAUCCGUAACUGGUCUGAGAGGAUGAUCAGUCACACUGGAACGGAGACAGGGUCAAGACUCCUACGGGAGGCAGCAGUGGGGAAUAUUGGACAGAGGGCGAAAGCCUGAUCCAGCCAUGCCGCGUGUGUGAAGAAGGUCUUCGGAUUGUAAAGCACUUUAAGUUGGGAGAAAGGGCAGUAAGUUAAUACCUUGCUGUUUUGACGUUACCAACAGAAUAAGCACCGGCUAACUACGUG
rnacentral:rRNA from 1 species